CCAGUGGCGAAGGCGACUUUCUGGUCUGUAACUGACACUGAGGCGCGAAGCGUGGGGAGCAAACAGGAUUAGAUACCUGGUAGUCCACGCCGUAAACGAAGAGUGCUAAGUGUUAGAGGGUUUCCGCCCUUUAGUGCUGAAGUUAACGCAUUAAGCACUCCGCCUGGGGAGUACGGCCGCAAGGCUGAAACUCAAAGGAAUUGACGGGGGCCCGCACAAGCGGUGGAGCAUGUGGUUUAAUUUGAAGCAACGCGAAGAACCUUACCAGGUCUUGACAUCCUUUGACAACCCUAGAGAUAGGGCUUCUCCUUCGGGAGCAGAGUGACAGGUGGUGCAUGGUUGUUGUCAGCUCGUGUCGUGAGAUGUUGGGUUAAGUCCCGCAACGAGCGCAACCCUUGAUUUUAGUUGCCAUCAUUUAGUUGGGCACUUUAAGGUGACUGCCGGUGACAAACCGGAGGAAGGUGGGGAUGACGUCAAAUCAUCAUGCCCCUUAUGACCUGGGCUACACACGUGCUACAAUGGACGGUACAAAGAGCUGCAAGACCGCGAGGUGGAGCUAAUCUCAUAAAACCGUUCUCAGUUCGGAUUGUAGGCUGCAACUCGCCUACAUGAAGCUGGAAUCGCUAGUAAUCGCGGAUCAGCAUGCCGCGGUGAAUACGUUCCCGGGCCUUGUACACACCGCCCGUCACACCACGAGAGUUUGUAACACCCGAAGUCGGUGGGGUAACCUUUUUGGAGCCAGCCGC
rnacentral:rRNA from 1 species